ensembl:lncRNA
GUGAUGCGGAGAACAAAGCACUCAUAAUUAUAUGAGUGUUAUUAGUACACCAUAGCAUAUCAUUAUUGUAGAAAAUGAUUACGGUGGACUCAUGAUAAGAAUAGAGAGAAAUACAGACAAUUUAUUUUCACUGCUUCAAUUUAUUGUAUUUGUUAUUAAUACAUUUAGUCAUUUAACAGACGCUUUUAUUCAAAACGACUUCCAAGGAAAUGUAAAACUACAUCGAGGAAGGAGGUUAGGGGAUUUGAACUAGCAACCAUGCAGCUUCUAACCGGUAGAGGUAACCUCUGUACCAGCUGACACUUGCUGUCAGGUAUUCAUACAUAGAUAUCACCCUAUAAACAUCCUAACACACCUUGCUCUCACAGCGGUGGUGGUGUUGAAUUUUGCCAUGAUUAUGGUCUUGUAUUCUUCAUAAGCGUUCAUGUUCAUCUCCUACUCGCCAGCGGAGAAAAAAAGAGCCCUUUUCUUUGAGUUUAGAACCAUUAUACCGUUAGAAAAUCAUGGUUUUGGUGAUCGACCUUUCCUGCCUUUUGAAGUAGGACGUGCACGCGCAAAUGCCAUGAUAACUUUAGCCUGCUUGAAAUUAACCACAUGAUUAGGAUGCGGGUCAGCCGUUAACGAACCGAUAUUUGCUGUUCUCAAUCAGCUCGCUAAUCUUAACGGGCUAAAAGGCCAAUUGAUUAACUUAGCUUCAAUCCUACGACGAACGUACCCCUGUUUCCCGGAAUGAGACUUGUUUUCGAAAACAGGCCUACAGGUGCAGGCUGGUGGAAACAGCCAAGCAUGGGGUCUCGGGAUAAGAGAUGCAGACAAGUCAAGGACAAGCGAAGCUCCCAAAAAGUUGUAAACAGGCUCUUUGCAACAUUGGCAAGGACACCAACCUGCUCUCACAAGUUACCGUUGUCCUAAAAUGUUUCUCCGCAACAAGUGAGCGAGAAUAUUCUGAUUGGCUGAGCUUAGAUUAAAUGUAUGGGUUUGAGAGAAUAUUCUGAUUGGUUCAACUUGGAUACGUUUUGGGUUUUGGAUUGGUUCAAUUUGGAUAAGUUUUAGGCUUUUGAUUGGAAAGCAAGUAACGAAAUAGGCCAUUUAAAAAGUUAGUGCACUGGUUAUUUGGCUGAGCUGCUCCAUGGACCACCACUCCGAUUGAAUGAAAAGUCUGCAAGAGUAAAUAAACUUUAGGGGGGCGCUCGUGGAUACGGAACAUGUAAGACGUGUGCUUCAGUGCUCCGAGGCUAAGUGACUAUAUGUAAUUAAUUUUGGCAUAAUAUUCCAUUUUAUACUUAUUUUAUCGUAUCAGCAACAGUUUAUUGAAUGCUCGGUUGAGAAAUGGCUUCUGGACGGAAUAAACCGGACUCGGGGAAAGGCUAGGGUGACCAGAUUUCCCGGACCUAAAACUGGGACACUUUGCGCGUGACCGUAAUGCUCGUGCACGCACACGCUUUUUAUCCUGAACAUGUGCCAGCCCAGGUCAGACAUAGACAUAGAUU